AGCAUAGAAGUAGCAAUACGUUGGUGGCGACCGGCGCGACGGGUGAGUAACGCGUAUGCAACCUACCUAUCAGGAGGGGAAUAACCCGGCGAAAGUCGGACUAAUACCGCAUAAAACAGGGGCACCGCAUGGUGAUAUUUGUUAAAGAAAUUCGCUGAUAGAUGGGCAUGCGUUCCAUUAGGUAGUUGGUGAGGUAACGGCUCACCAAGCCGACGAUGGAUAGGGGAACUGAGAGGUUGGUCCCCCACACUGGUACUGAGACACGGACCAGACUCCUACGGGAGGCAGCAGUGAGGAAUAUUGGUCAAGUGGGCGGGAGCCUGAACCAGCCAAGUCGCGUUGAAGGAAGAAGGAUCUAUGGUUCGUAAACUUCUUUGCAGGGGAAUAAAGUGCAGGACGUGUCCUGUUUUGUAUGUACCCUGAGAAUAAGGAUCGGCUAACUCCGUGCCAGCCGCCGC
rnacentral:rRNA from 1 species